GCUGGCGGCGUGCUUAACACAUGCAAGUCGAACGGUGAAGCCAAGCUUGCUUGGUGGAUCAGUGGCGAACGGGUGAGUAACACGUGAGCAACCUGCCCUGGACUCUGGGAUAAGCGCUGGAAACGGUGUCUAAUACUGGAUAUGAGCUCUCACUGCAUGGUGGGGGUUGGAAAGAUUUUUCGGUCUGGGAUGGGCUCGCGGCCUAUCAGCUUGUUGGUGAGGUAAUGGCUCACCAAGGCGUCGACGGGUAGCCGGCCUGAGAGGGUGACCGGCCACACUGGGACUGAGACACGGCCCAGACUCCUACGGGAGGCAGCAGUGGGGAAUAUUGCACAAUGGGCGGAAGCCUGAUGCAGCAACGCCGCGUGAGGGAUGACGGCCUUCGGGUUGUAAACCUCUUUUAGCAAGGAAGAAGCGAAAGUGACGGUACUGCAGAAA
rnacentral:rRNA from 1 species